UUUACAAGCAUCAUUGCUACAG
rnacentral:misc_RNA from 1 species